ensembl:lncRNA
UAUCCCAAAUUCUCAGUUUAAAGGCUUUCGUGAAACGUAUGGAUGUGGCAAUGAAGGACAUUCUUUAGUGGGCGUGAUGGUUAUGGGUUGAUGGUUGGACUGGAUGAUCUUAGUGGUCUUUUCAAACCUUAAUAAAUCUAUGAUUCUAUGACUUUCAGGGGCAUGUACUUCAGGUAACAGCACUCAAUGUUGAAAUGAGAGCUGGGAACGAGAUGGAUUAACUGAUGAACUGCCUGAUUGAUUUGGGUGGGAAGUGCUGAGUACACCCAAGUCUGAUUAACACAUGGAAGCAGGAUUCAUUUGAAGGUGCCUCUGUGUUGCACUACCAUAUUUUACCUGAGACUUUCUGGACAUGCCCUGUGUUGAGCUGUUAUUCUGCCAACUGAUUGUUUUUUUCCCAUUCUCUUGGGUGAACACAGCAAAAGCAAUUUUGUCAGCAUGAAUUCUUAUCUGUCAUAAAGCCUGUUAGCCUGUGUUUUACUUAAGAAAUGUGACUCUCCUG